UAAUGAAGGGACAAAUUAACUCCCCUAUUUACUUGAUUUGGAGGUGGGACGCAUUGGGAAGCAUCACCUAGUCUUGGGGUGAGGACCAGUCUUUAAAGCUUGAGUUACUGACCGAGCCAGCUCUUCAACUUUAUGCAGCUUGGUGGCCAUCUUGAGCUCAAGGCCUCGAUAUGAGUCAUGCGAGCAUCAAUAUUCUGUAAUUUUAGCAGAAUCACUUCCAAGGUGAGUGAUUGUUGUGUAAUGGAGGUUGAGCAUAAUCUACGUUGGCAGUAGGUAGAUUAAAUCCCAGAUAUGUUUGGGGCAUAAGUCUUGGGCGAGGCUUGUGUAAGUAUCGCAGAAGAAUUAGUGUAGGCCUUGGGCAAGGCUAGAAUAGUUAGCAUAAACCUUGGGCAAGGCUUAUGGGAACAGUUUAGACUGAAAAACCCAGUGGAUUUGUUCGUGGCUUCUCUAUUAGUGGGCCACGAGUGA
rnacentral:lncRNA from 1 species